UAACCUGCCCAAGAGAUCGGGAUAACACCUGGAAACAGAUGCUAAUACCGGAUAACAAUAGAUGAUGCCUAUCAACUGUUUAAAAGAUGGUUCUGCUAUCACUCUUGGAUGGACCUGCGGUGCAUUAGCUAGUUGGUAGGGUAACGGCCUACCAAGGCGAUGAUGCAUAGCCGAGUUGAGAGACUGAUCGGCCACAUUGGGACUGAGACACGGCCCAAACUCCUACGGGAGGCAGCAGGG
rnacentral:rRNA from 1 species